AGUGAACGCUGGCGGUAGGCCUAACACAUGCAAGUCGAACGGCAGCACAGUAAGAGCUUGCUCUUACGGGUGGCGAGUGGCGGACGGGUGAGGAAUACAUCGGAAUCUACUUUUUCGUGGGGGAUAACGUAGGGAAACUUACGCUAAUACCGCAUACGACCUACGGGUGAAAGCAGGGGAUCUUCGGACCUUGCGCGAUUGAAUGAGCCGAUGUCGGAUUAGCUAGUUGGCGGGGUAAAGGCCCACCAAGGCGACGAUCCGUAGCUGGUCUGAGAGGAUGAUCAGCCACACUGGAACUGAGACACGGUCCAGACUCCUACGGGAGGCAGCAGUGGGGAAUAUUCGACAAUGGGCGCAAGCCCGAUCCAGCCAUACCGCGUGGGUGAAGAAGGCCUUCGGGUUGUAAAGCCCUUUUGUUGGGAAAGAAAAGCAGCAGGUUAAUACCCCGCUGUUCUGACGGUACCCAAAGAAUAAGCACCGGCUAACUUCGUG
rnacentral:rRNA from 1 species